rnacentral:snoRNA from 8 species
UGAUGACUGUUCCUCCUAUUGCCUUCAGAUCUGGCACUAGGAUUUUAGGUCAUCAUAAAUUAAAAUUUGAUUUUCUUCACUCAGAGGAUAUUAGGAUAAUGGAAUUAUCUGUUUAUUCUCUGAAAUUCGCGGAAUCAAACACCU